UACGUAGGGCGCAAGCGUUGUCCGGAAUUAUUGGGCGUAAAGAGCUCGUAGGCGGUUUGUCGCGUCUGCUGUGAAAACCUAAGGCUCAACCUUGGGCUUGCAGUGGGUACGGGCAGACUAGAGUGCGGUAGGGGUGACUGGAAGUUCCUGGUGUAGCGGUGGAAUGCGCAGAUAUCAGGAGGAACACCGAUGGCGAAGGCAGGUCACUGGGCCGCAACUGACGCUGGAGGAGCGAAAGCGUGGGGAGCAAACAGG
rnacentral:rRNA from 1 species